rnacentral:lncRNA from 1 species
UCGUACCCCCUGUAAGGAAAACAAAUGGAGUGGAAUGAGCUAAAAGCCCAGUGAGGUUCCAAAUAGCAAGUUGACCAUUAUUUAAAGGUACACGUAUCAACGUAGCAAAAGAUAGCGAGCAUAACAAGUUCAUAAAAGUGAACACUAACACUUCAAGUAGCAAAUUUCCAAAUGAACGAGUGUAAAGUGCUUUUGGUUUUUAAUAGAAACAAUAAUCCAAUAGGCAAUAAUCAUUUCCAAGUAUAAGGAUACGGAUGGCUCUCAGGAGCCAAGUUCCCAUUGCUUCACCAGAGCUUGAUCAAAUAUUAGUUGACACUCCGUCAACUUUCAAGAAAAGUAACCAAUCCAGUAGAUCACCACUUAACUCCAAUCUCCGUCCACCAACGAAACCCCUUACCGGGCCCGAACUCCAAGAUAAACACUGGUGGUAAUACUCUAGUAUACCGAUUAGUCGAGGAGAUAACACUCCACUCGACAACACUAGAUACCCAUGGUUCAUUAUCUAUGCGACCAGGCCCUUGCCGGCUCGACUCGAUUAACUAGCCAAUGGGGUUUAGGUCCCCAAAAAGUCGAUGAGAUAACACUCCAAUCGACUGAAUCAAGAUAAAAGUACGAAGACGGGAAUGAGAGGUACCUCCCACUCAGAUCGAGUGUGGUACAUACUGCCGCUCAGUACUUACAAGUCACGUACAAGUAUCUCAAAUCAAUUGCAACAAUAAACAAGUACAUAUCACAUUAAGGGCAAGUGCGAUAAAGUACACCCUUGCUCGAUCAUACCAAUCACAUAUCAUUCGACCAUAUUGGUCAAAUAUUAAAACCAGUGUCCAGUUCAAUCAGGUAUUUGGAAGCACUCACCAAAGGUCUAGUGCCUCUCAAAAGUCACGUUCAGGUCCAACUCCUUGGUUGGAGUCCAAAUCUGCGAUAAAAUAUCAUUUAUGAAUGUAAAACUCUCUAAAGUUCGAAACAUAGGAGUUUCGCUUCAAGAAAAUCAAGUAAAUGCAAAUCGUUUAAGUAGUAUUCACGAUACUUAUCAAAUGCCGAACAAUUCAUGCUCGCUCUUGAACCUUUGUAACUUUGAAGCAAUUAUACUUUGAAAUACCAUUUGAGUCGAAGAAAUGGAGAAAACAUAUUUCCAUUAGUCGUAAUUUUCAUUUUUCCAAGGGUACAAGUUUCGGCCGAAUUCUAACUCAUAUACCUUGAUAAAAAAAGACGCAAAUAUCCUAGAUGGUUCACGUGGUAUUCGCUCUCAAGCCUUACUCGAGUCGCAAGUAUAUCUACCUAGCCCUCGAGUGCAAAUUUGGGCAGCACGCCCUUUGUAUUUACCUAUUUUUCAGCCAUUUAUGGCUUCAUUCUUUUUCUCAAUCAGCCCCAAAACACAUAUAAAUAAUCUCAUCACAAUAGUCGUUCAAUAGGCUAAAAUUCAUCCAAAUACAAGGCAAUUCUAGCAAGUAAGCUUCACUUGGAAAUUCGAAAAUAGUGGCUAAAAGCUAAGUACAAGUCUUGACCGUUUUAAUUAAGAUAACUUGUUAAAAGAGUAAAACUUUGAGGAAAUAAGAGAUACAUUAGCGAGAGAAAUUCAAUAGGGGUACAUUUGAAGUCAAGGAAGUGGAAAAAUCAAGGUAAGAGGUUGGAAGUAGGCCGUCCGAGGUUUUAAAGUCAAGAAGCCUGUUUCUCUGCUUUAGGAAUCUACCGAGAUGAAUAGUAACAGUAAACUUUAAAAAUUCGCAACUCGAGUUCCACAAGUCAAAAAAUUAUGAAAGUUAUACCGUUGUAAAAUAGAUUUUUAGUACUACCACAUCCCAGAAGACACUUUUCAGAGAUUAAAAUCACAAAUAGGCCAAAUAUUCGAUCCAAGUCAAAAAUUCAUUUUCCUGAAGAAACUGGACAUUCAAGCAGGGCAGCCUACUUUGAGGAGUCACGGACAGCAGUACACAUGGCGAAAAAAUAUGAGAGUUUUAAAGAACAAAGGCCCAUGAGUCUAGUUUCAAAUGCCACUGACGGCACCUCAAUCGGAUUUUUCUACACCAAGAUAUAAGCAUUUUACUGAAAUUGGUCAGUGAAAUCCGAAAAUCUGGAAACUCAAUUUCACUUGUGAAAAACUCCUUUUUCUCUUUUAAAACCACAAGACUUUUAUUCCAACCACCCAUACAUUAAGUAUGACAUUCAUACCAGCAAUUUUAACAUAAUUUAAGCAUCAAAUUUCAACAAAAACCAAAGAUAUACGUAUAUUCAAAGUUGAAAGUUUUGUAAGAUGUGUAGACUAAGAUUAAAUCAUUUUCUAUUCAAUAGUCAUGGAUUCUAAGUUGUUUGUAGUUUGGGUUUUGUUCCACUGCACCAAUGAAUAGCAACCAGACUAAGCCAACCAUCAUGCAGCUUAACUGCACCAAUUAAUAGCAAUCUAAAGUUUAAAUACCCACUUCCUCAAAACAUUGACAUGUUUUAUAAAAGGAGAAAAUUUGAACUUCACUACCAUUAUUCUUAUACGGAACCUGGUAAUAUAUCUAAAAUGGAAAUUAAUCAUAUACUGUGUCCUUGAAGAGCACUACCUAAGGAACCAAGAGACAUAGAUAUUGGCACCCAAAUCCGUAGUAUACUGGUUUUCACAGCAGCUCUCUCUUUGAAGCAUCUGACACGACUUCUAUUUCAGAAACUCACCAUUGUUAUCUAAAAAUAAAGCCAAGAGUGCAGCAUAGCAACUAGAACAACUUAUAUACGACUUUCACAGCUAGUAAUCCUAUAUAACCUGAAGUAGAUAUAUUUCAUACUUCUGCUAACACGAGUCUUCAAGGAAAUUCCAGUUACAAGCGUUAAAAUUCUAGCUCCUUAGCCUCGGUCAUCUCAGAAAUUUUCCAGCACCCAAUCAGCCUUUAAUCUAAAUUUUCUUCAGCAAGGUUCAUUCUUAGCUAAAGUCUAACAUUCAUGUCCAUAUACGUGAACUAGAGAGUGUAUAUCAGUCAUGCACAUAAGAAACAAUCAGAAAAUCUCAGCUUAGCUUAACAAUAUCACAUAACAGCUUCUAUUGAGCAUUUCCAGCACUUGGUCAGUAUUUUAAUCUUUAUUUCUUCAGGCAAACCUCUUAUAAACUUAAGGUAAAUGUAUAACAUAUGUUUCCUAUCAUUGGUUUUCCAGAAAUUUCCAGCAAUAAAUCCAGUCUUUACAACCAAUUUCUACUUCAAUCCAACCUCAAGGAAAUAUACAUCAAAAGCCCUCUAAAGUAUGUGAAAGAAAUUAAAGUUCCAAGUCAUGUUACCUUUAAAACAAGCUAGAAGUUAACUCCCCUGUUUUGGUCCUUCUACUCGAUCAAACAAGCUGGAAAUGGAAACAAGACUCAAGCUUCCUUUCAGUUUUCUCUCGCUGGUUCCUCUUGGCUGAAGUGGAAACAAAACAAGGGAAAUUUCUUUGUUUUCCCCAAAUUUUCUCUCGGCUGGAAGGUGGGUGCAAGCCACAACCUUUUCCUCUCAACUCUCUCUACUCUCUCUCGGCUAAGGUGGGACAAAACAAGUGAGCAGUCUUGUUUGUCUUUGUUUUUCUUUCUCUCGGUG